UCCUGGGGCUGUAGUCGGUCCCAAGGGUUGGGCUGUUCGCCCAUUAAAGCGGUACGCGAGCUGGGUUCAGAACGUCGUGAGACAGUUCGGUCCCUAUCCGUCGUGGGCGCAGGAAAUUUGAGAGGAUCUGUCCUUAGUACGAGAGGACCGGGAUGGACAUACCUCUGGUGUACCAGUUGUUCUGCCAAGAGCACCGCUGGGUAGCUACGUAUGGAUUAGAUAAUCGCUGAAAGCAUCUAAGUGAGAAACUAACCUCGAGAUGAGAUUUCCCAUUCGUCAGAAGUAAGACCCCUGAGAGACGAUCAGGUAGAUAGGCUAGAAGUGGAAGUGUAGUGAUGCAUGGAGCGGACUAGUACUAAUAGGUCGAGGACUUAACCAAG
rnacentral:rRNA from 1 species